ACAACGUCCUCCUGCGGAUCCUCGUGCACAUCGUACUUAAUGUCAUUUUGUUGCUGCUGCUGUUGUUGCUGCUGCUGCUGCUGCUGUUGCUGCUGCUGCUGC